rnacentral:tRNA from 1 species
CAGUCCGGCAGUCAUCAAAUUGCAAAUUUGAAGAAGCACCCUAAAGGGUGCCCGGACU